AUUGAACGCUGGCGGCAUGCUUUACACAUGCAAGUCGAACGGUAACAGGCCUUCGGGUGCUGACGAGUGGCGAACGGGUGAGUAAUGCAUCGGAACGUACCCAGAGGUGGGGGAUAACGCAGCGAAAGCUGUGCUAAUACCGCAUGUGAUAUGAGGAUGAAAGCGGGGGACCGAGCAGCAAUGUUUGGCCUCGCGCCUUUGGAGAGGCCGAUGUCGGAUUAGCUAGUUGGUGGGGUAAAGGCCUACCAAGGCGACGAUCCGUAGCUGGUCUGAGAGGACGACCACCCACAUGGGCACAGAGGAUCGUCCCCGACUCCGACGGUAGGCAGCAGUGGGGAAUUUUGGACAAUGGGCGCAAGCCUGAUCCAGCAAUGCCGCGUGCGGGAAGAAGGCCUUCGGCUUGUAAACCGCUGUUGGCAGGAACGAAACGGUGUCCUCUAAUACCGGGCGCUAAUGACGGUACCUGCAGAAUAAGCACCGGCUAACUACGUG
rnacentral:rRNA from 1 species